AUUGAACGCUGGCGGAAUGCUUUACACAUGCAAGUCGAGCGGCAGCGCGGGGCAACCUGGCGGCGAGCGGCGAACGGGUGAGUAAUACAUCGGAACGUGCCCAGACGUGGGGGAUAACUACUCGAAAGAGUGGCUAAUACCGCAUACGAUCUGAGGAUGAAAGCGGGGGAUCGCAAGACCUCGCGCGUCUGGAGCGGCCGAUGGCAGAUUAGGUAGUUGGUGAGGUAAAGGCUUACCAAGCCUGCGAUCUGUAGCUGGUCUGAGAGGAUGAUCAACCACACUGGGACUGAGACACGGCCCAGACUCCUACGGGAGGCAGCAGUGGGGAAUUUUGGACAAUGGGCGAAAGCCUGAUCCAGCCAUUCCGCGUGCAGGAUGAAGGCCCUCGGGUUGUAAACUGCUUUUGUACGGAACGAAAAAGCUCCGGCUAAUACCUGGAGUCCAUGACGGUACCGUAAGAAUAAGCACCGGCUAACUACGUGCCAGCAGCCGCCGUAA
rnacentral:rRNA from 1 species